UUUCCGUAGGUGAACCUACGGAAGGAUCAUUAUUGAAACUUGAAUCGUAGCAUUGAGAACUGUUGCUGACCUGUUAAAGGGUAUGUGCACGUUCGACGUGUUGCGUUCUAUUCAUCCACCUGUGCACCUUUGUAGACUUGAUUAACUUUCGCUCUCGAGCGGUUAGAAGGGUUGCUUUCGAGCUCCCUUUGUCUAUCAAGUCUAUGUCUAUAUAAUCUCUUGUAUGUCUAGAAUGUCUCGUUUAUGGGACGCAAGUCCUUUAAAUCUUAUACAACUUUCAACAACGGAUCUCUUGGCUCUC
rnacentral:misc_RNA from 1 species